AAGACUGAAAGUUAAAGAAAUUGACGGAAGGGCCCCACCAGGAGUGGAGCCUGCGGCUUAAUUUGACUCAACACGGGGAAACUCACCAGGUCCAGACACAAUAAGGAUUGACAGAUUGAGAGCUCUUUCUUGAUUUUGUGGGUGGUGGUGCAUGGCCGUUCUUAGUUGGUGGAGUGAUUUGUCUGCUUAAUUGCGAUAACGAACGAGACCUUAACCUGCUAAAUAGCCAGGCUAGCUUUGGCUGGUCGCCGGCUUCUUAGAGGGACUAUCGGCUCAAGCCGAUGGAAGUUUGAGGCAAUAACAGGUCUGUGAUGCCCCUAGAUGUUGUGGGCCGCACGCGCGCUACACUGACAGAGCCAACGAGUUCAUCACCUUGGCCGAAAGGUCUGGGUAAUCUUGUUAAACUCUGUCGUGCUGGGGAUAGAGCAUUGCAAUUAUUGCUCUUCAACGAGGAAUUCCUAGUAAGCGCAAGUCAUCAGCUUGCGCUGAUUACGUCCCUGCCCUUUGUACACACCGCCCGUCGCUACUACCGAUUGAAUGGCUCAGUGAGGCUUUCGGACUGGCCCAGGGAGGUCGGCAACGACCACCCAGGGCCGGAAAGCUGUUCAAACUUGGUCAUUUAGAGGAAGAAAGAGUCGUAACAAGGUAACC
rnacentral:rRNA from 1 species